rnacentral:lncRNA from 10 species
GCCUCGGCCUCCCAAAGUGCUGGGAUUACAGGCGUGAGCUAUGGCGCCCAGCCAGGUUGUACUUUUUUCAAGAGAGUUGUAACAAGAUAUUCCACACCACAUGCUCUUCUUUAGUGUGACACUCCUCCCAUUAAGAGGUGGAGUCUGUAUUCCUUCCUCUUGAACUUGGGUGGGCCUGUAGGUAAGGUGGAAGUGAUGCAAGGUCAAAAAAGGUUAUACAUCUUCCACUUGAUUGUCUUAGGAGUCACUCAGAAUCCAGCCACCUUGGAUAUGAGGAAGCAGAGCAACCUCAUGGAGAAACCACGUAGGUGUUCCUGCUGACAAUCCUAGCCGAGAUCCCAGCCAACAGCCAGCAUAACCUCAGACAUAUGUUGAAGUAAAUUAAAAUGGAGACCAGGCCUGAAGAAUCUCUGAGCAGACAAAACCAGUUAGGCCUCAUAAGUGACCUCAACCUUGAUUUACAAACACAAGGGAAACUUAUGUUGAGCCAUUUCUUGUAAAUGCCUGUAUUAAAGAAAAACAAAACUUAAGCUCAACCAAUUGGAAGUAGCCAAAAACUUAUAUAACUAGGGACUUUCCAAGAAGGUGAAUGAAUGAAUAAGGCAACUGUAAAAUUGCAAUCAAUCAAAUUAUUUAUUUUGCUCCACAUUUACCCCAUAAAUACUUGCCCCUGAUGAUUUGUCAUGAGAAAAUUAAACUUCUUUUGGUUUGGUAUUUCCCAAUUCAUUAAUUGCUUCCUAUUCAAAUGAACUCUAUUUUUUUUUUUUUUGAGAUGGAGUCUCGCACUGUCACCUGGGCUGGAGUGCAGUGGUGCGAUCUCGGCUCACUGCAACCUCUGCCUCCCCAGUCACACAUUUCUCCUGCCUCAGCCUCCCAAGUAGCUGGGAUUACAGGCGCGUGCCACCACGCCUGGCUAAUUUUUUGUAUUUUUAGUAGAGACGGGGUUUCAUUAUGUUGGCCAGACUGGUCUCAAAUCCUGACCUCGUGAUCCACCCGACUCGGCCUCCCAAAGUGCUGGGAUUACAGGCAUGAGCCACAGCACCCGGCUGGUCAAAUGAGCUCUUAAAAUUUUUUUUUUGUGCCUUAGUUUACCUUUUACAUAUGUGAAUGAGCAACUCCAAAUGAUUCCAGCCCCAAGCUUUUAAGUCAUCUCAGGCUUCCAAGUCUUCUCAGCUGAAGUCUCAGUGAUUCUGAAGCAGAGACAAGUCAUCCCCACUAUACCCUUUCCGAAUUCUUGACCCACAGAAUCCAUGACAUAAUAAACUGGUUGCUG